rnacentral:rRNA from 1 species
UACGAAGGGGGCUAGCGUUGUUCGGAAUUACUGGGCGUAAAGCGCACGUAGGCGGCAUUCCAAGUUGGAGGUGAAAUCCCCGGGCUUAACCUGGGAACUGCCUCCAAAACUGGGAAGCUCGAGUCCGAGAGAGGUGAGUGGAAUUUCCAGUGUAGAGGUGAAAUUCGUAGAUAUUGGAAAGAACACCAGUGGCGAAGGCG